GAUGAACGCUAGCGGCAGGCCUAAUACAUGCAAGUCGAGGGAGAUUGUUGGAUUCGUCUGACAUGAAACCGGCGCACGGGUGCGUAACACGUAUGCAACCUACCUUUAACUGGGGUAUAGCUCAGAGAAAUCUGAAUUAAUCCCCCAUAACACUACGACAUGGCAUCAUGAUGUAGUUAAAGCUCCGGCGGUUAAGGAUGGGCAUGCGGUACAUUAGCUAGUUGGUGAGGUAAUGGCUCACCAAGGCUACGAUGUAUAGGGGGUCUGAGAGGAUGAUCCCCCACACUGGUACUGAGACACGGACCAGACUCCUACGGGAGGCAGCAGUAGGGAAUAUUGGUCAAUGGACGCAAGUCUGAACCAGCCAUGCCGCGUGAAGGAUGAAGGCCCUCUGGGUCGUAAACUUCUUUUAUUAGGGAAGAAACCUCAGGAUGCGUCCUGAGCUGACGGUACUUAAUGAAUAAGGAUCGGCUAACUUCGUGCCAGCAGCCGCGGUAAGACGAAGGAUCCAAGCGUUGUCCGGAUUUACUGGGUUUAAAGGGUGCGUAGGCGGAAAAUUAAGUCAGUGGUGAAAGCCCGCAGCUCAACUGUGGAACUGCCAUUGAAACUGGUUUUCUUGAAUAUAGCUGAGGCAGAUGGAAUAUAACAUGUAGCGGUGAAAUGCUUAGAUAUGUUAUAGAACACCGAUUGCGAAGGCAGUCUGCUAAACUAUUAUUGACGCUGAGGCACGAAAGCGUGGGGAGCGAACAGGAUUAGAUACCCUGGUAGUCCACGCCCUAAACGUUGAUUACUCGCUGUUGGCGAUAUACUGUCAGUGGCUAAGCGAAAGCAUUAAGUAAUCCACCUGGGAAGUACGACCGCAGGGUUG
rnacentral:rRNA from 1 species